rnacentral:rRNA from 1 species
CCUACGGGUGGCAGCAGUGAGGAAUAUUGGUCAAUGGGCGCGAGCCUGAACCAGCCAAGUCGCGUGAAGGAUGAAUGCCCUACGGGUUGUAAACUUCUUUUCUAAAGGAAUAAAGUGAGGCACGUGUGCCUUUUUGUAUGUACUUUAUGACUAAGGAUCGGCUAACUCCGUGCCAGCAGCCGCGGUAAUACGGAGGAUCCGAGCGUUAUCCGGAUGUAUGGGGGUUAAAGGGAGCGUAGAUGGGUUGUUAAGUCAGUUGUGAAAUUUUGCGGCUCAACCGUAAAAUUGCAAUUGAUACUGGCAGUCUUGAGUACAGUUGAGGGAGGCGGAAUUCGUGGUGUAGCGGUGAAAUGCUUAGAGAUCACGAAGAACUCCGAUUGCGAAGGCAGCUUACUAAACUGCCACUGACAUUGAUGCGCGAAAGUGUGGGGAUCAAACAGGAUUAGAUACCCGUGUAGUC